GGCCUUAGCUAGUUGUGGGGUAAUGCUCCCCAGGGGACGAUGCGUAGCCGACCUGANAGGUGAUCGCCCCCCUGGGACUGNACCCGGCCCAGACUCCUACGGGAGGCAGCAGUAGGAAUUUUCCGCAAUGGACGAAAUUCUGACGGAGCAACGCCGCCUGAGUGAUGAAGUUUUUCGGAUCGUAAAGCUCUGUUGUUAGGGAAGAACAAGUGCGAGAGUAACUGCUCGCACCUUGACGGUACCUAACCAGAAAGCCACGGCUAACUACGUGCCAGCAGCCGCGGUAAUACGUAGGUGGCAAGCGUUGUCCGGAAUUAUUGGGCGUAAAGGGCUCGCAGGCGGUUUCUUAAGUCUGAUGUGAAAGCCCCCGGCUCAACCGGGGAGGGUCAUUGGAAACUGGGAAACUUGAGUGCAGAAGAGGAGAGUGGAAUUCCACGUGUAGCGGUGAAAUGCGUAGAGAUGUGGAGGAACACCAGUGGCGAAGGCGACUCUCUGGUCUGUAACUGACGCUGAGGAGCGAAAGCGUGGGGAGCGAACAGGAUUAGAUACCCUGGUAGUCCACGCCGUAAACGAUGAGUGCUAAGUGUUAGGGGGUUUCCGCCCCUUAGUGCUGCAGCUAACGCAUUAAGCACUCCGCCUGGGGAGUACGGUCGCAAGACUGAAACUCAAAGGAAUUGACGGGGGCCCGCACAAGCGGUGGAGCAUGUGGUUUAAUUCGAAGCAACGCGAAGAACCUUACCAGGUCUUGACAUCCUCUGACAACCCUAGAGAUAGGGCUUUCCCUUCGGGGACAGAGUGACAGGUGGUGCAUGGUUGUCGUCAGCUCGUGUCGUGAGAUGUUGGGUUAAGUCCCGCAACGAGCGCAACCCUUGAUCUUAGUUGCCAGCAUUCAGUUGGGCACUCUAAGGUGACUGCCGGUGACAAACCGGAGGAAGGUGGGGAUGACGUCAAAUCAUCAUGCCCCUUAUGACCUGGGCUACACACGUGCUACAAUGGACAGAACAAAGGGCUGCAAGACCGCAAGGUUUAGCCAAUCCCAUAAAUCUGUUCUCAGUUCGGAUCGCAGUCUGCAACUCGACUGCGUGAAGCUGGAAUCGCUAGUAAUCGCGGAUCAGCAUGCCGCGGUGAAUACGUUCCCGGGCCUUGUACACACCGCCCGUCACACCACGAGAGUUUGCAACACCCGAAGUCGGUGAGGUAACCUUUAUGGAGCCAGCCGCCGAAGGGGGCAGAANGG
rnacentral:rRNA from 1 species